GCUGGAUAUGCCAAGAGAUGAGUUUGGAUUGUUCUGCGGAGUAGCAUCUUGUGUCUAUAAAAUGAGCUGCUCGUUAUGUGUAGAUAAUCCUUUCUACUGCAGCUUUUUUGAAAGAUAUAAUGUUAGCCAUGGAGAACUGCAAAUAUGUUGCUACUGCUCUCAAUAACAUUGCUGCCCUGAAUAUAUCAGGUGCUACCAGAAAAAAUUCAGUGGGGAAAAGUUCUGAUGGACAGCUUUCUGGAGGAUGAUUGUGCCAUGCUGACUCUCUCUGACUCUGAAAAUGAAUCAGACGAUGAGGAAAUCCUUGAUUUGGGUAAAAACAUUUUCAUUGAAGAAGACAUUGUAGAGUCUUCUGAUGACAGUGAUGGGGAAGAAACGGUGAUCAACAGUGUUGUUGUCCCGGAAGAAGUUGACAGAGUUUUGAAAUCAGUGGAAUGUCUGUGCAAACUAAACGGAAACAACACAGGAAAUCUUAUUUUAUGAAAUGGGUUGCAGUCUGCCAUGAAGCUUUCAUCCAUGUAUACAGCAUCAGUAGAACAUGCGUGACUCUCCUCCACCAGUCAUACAAGAUGAAUGGUCCUAUGCCUCCCAUCAAAAAGAGAGCUUGCCCAGGCAAGCACAGGUUACACCUGAAGCAUGACGAGUUGCAGCGAGUGGUGAACUUCAUCAACAACUAUGCAGAGGAUAAUGCAAUAGGAUGCCACCCAGGACACAAACACUUAGGUGGAAAGCUGCUGCCAUCCCAUGUGACAAAAGCAGCAGUGUGGAGUUUCUACAAUUAAUCAAUGCCAGCACUUGUGAUGAAUCUGAGAAGAAAAUUACUGCCCACAUCUCAAGCACUAAGAUCAGGACAGACCUGUGCUGGCAGUGCCAGGAGGAACAACCAUCAGGUCUUAAGAUCUGCCAAUCUGCCAGAAGCUGUUAAGUCAGCCAAAGUGAAGAAGCAAGAGCAGCAUCUCCUGCUUGUUCAGAGUGAGCGGUCUGUCUACCAGAAGAUGGUUGCUGACUGCAAGACCACCUGUCAAGACCUGCAGUUGUAUCUGGGGGUCCCUGCUGAACCAGCAAGCAAAGACAUCAGGAUGCAUUACAGCUUUGAUUUUGCUCAACAAAUAAGCAACAUGUCCUCCUUUUUACUGAUUAAGGACAGAUGGAUAGAUAGAUGUGCACUCAAUUCUUUUUAUAUAUAUGAGGCAGGCAAAUAUCUUUCACUGAGCUGUGUAAAGACAGACUGACAGGGGUGAGACAAUUAAUUGUAAUUUAUCUUAAUGUUCUUUUGUUGUUUGCAGGUGCACUAUCCUUCUGACCCUAUGCAGCCCACGUCCCAUCUACUGUUUAACUCCUUGCAAGUGUGGCUUGUUUGGUGUCUGCUGUGAAGGAAUACCACAGCAAACAACUACAGGAUUGAUGAAGGCUUUUCAUCCAGCAAAGGCAACAGCACAGUCAUCAACUACAUGCACCAUUUCUUUACCAACUACGGAGUUGAGGAAACACAUGUGGACCUGGAUUGAUUGUGAUAACAGCAGUGACCAAAACAAGAACAAGUUUGUGCUCGUGUAUUGUGCGGACCAUGCACAGUCUAGACCAAGUCCACACCAAGUUUGCCCCCGACUGUUGCUCCAGCCUCAUCAAGCAGGGCUUCAGAAAGACCAGAGUGAACACUUGUUCUGAGAUUGCUGGUGUUGUGAAGGACAGCACUAUGACAGGGGUCAACAUCCCACAGCUGGUUGGACUGGAGGAUGGUACGGUGCUGGUGGAAAGCUAUGGCUGGCAUCAACACCUGACUCCGUACUUCAGGCCGCUGCCACAGAUCAAGCAGUACCAGCACUUCAGCUUUUAAGCUCUGGAGCCUUGGUGUUGUUGCUUCCAAAGAGUGUUCGGACUCAGUCAGGAACAGAUUUCAACUGCUGUGCAACACUGACAUGCUUCCUCCAUAGAUGGUCGGCCUGUACAAGCACCACCUGGACUGGACACAGCUAGAAAAGCGUAUAUUUUUCAGAAGAUCAGGGAGUUUUGCAGCGAAGAGGCUAUGGACUUCACAUGCCCUGCACCAAAGUUAAGGGCAGGACAGAAACAGGCUCUCUGAAUGUAGAUUACCUUGUUCAUGUGUGGUUCAGAAGGACCAGUCAUCAGCAAUAUCUGCAAUGCCUCUAUUCAAGUGACUCUCUCCAAACACAUAUGGCUGCUACUAUUUUUUUGAUCCUGCUGCUCAGCCAAUUUACCCCAGAUUGUAUGCAAAUAACAACCUCGUCUAUCACUGAUAUCGUUAUUGAUAUUGUUCUUGUUCCUACUGUACAUUUUAUUUAUAUUGACUCUAUCUCUGAUAUUGCUACUAUGCACGUAACCAUUUGGCUGUACCGUUUACACUUUCUAUUGAGACCCAUCUACUUAGCAAGAUGUGGCCAGUGGUGUAAAAGUACUUAAGUAAAAAUACUUUAAAGUACUAAAGUAUUUUUUGCGGGUAUCUGUACUUUACUAUUUAUAUUUUUGGCAACUUUUACUUCACUUUAAAGAAAAUAACGUAUUUUUUACUCCAUACAUUUUUCUUGACACCCAAAAAUUCAAAAAUUACAUUUUGACAGGAAAAUUCACACACUAAUCAAGGGAACAUCCCUGGUCAUCCCUACUGCAUCUGAUCUGGCAGACUCACUAAACACAAAUGCUUUGUUUGUAAAUUAUGUCUGAUUGUUGGUGUGCCCCUGGCUUUCCUUCAAUAAAAACAUUUUUUUAAACAA
ensembl:lncRNA